GCGGCGACGCAGAAUCUGAAGGAAGCCGGCGGCAAGCCUCCGGCCCGAGGACCACGAACCCUAGGUGAGGCUAGUGGCAGCUGGAUGAGCUUGCACAACAACGAAGCCCAAGCUCAAUGGCUGCCAAGAUGAGUCAGCAGUACACCGGGGGAGAAGGCUG
rnacentral:ncRNA from 1 species